rnacentral:tRNA from 1 species
GGGGAAGUUCUCCGGGGAGUCCGGGUCCUCGCACGCAUAGCGGAGGUCGCCGCUCGUCAACUGGUCGACGACGUAUUUCGCCGGUUCGACUCCGGCCUUCUCGG